rnacentral:rRNA from 1 species
CACGUAGGGUGCGAGCGUUGUCCGGAAUUAUUGGGCGUAAAGAGCUCGUAGGCGGUGUGUCGCGUCGGCCGUGAAAACCUGCAGCUUAACUGUGGGCUUGCGGUCGAUACGGGCAUCACUGGAGUUCGGCAGGGGAGACUGGAAUUCCUGGUGUAGCGGUGAAAUGCGCAGAUAUCAGGAGGAACACCGGUGGCGAAGGCGGGUCUCUGGGCCGAUACUGACGCUGAGGCACGAAAGCUAGGGGAGCAAACAGG